UACAGAGGGUGCGAGCGUUAAUCGGAAUUACUGGGCGUAAAGCGUGCGCAGGCGGUUUUGUAAGUCUGUCGUGAAAGCCCCGGGCUCAACCUGGGAAUUGCGAUGGAGACUGCAAGGCUUGAAUCUGGCAGAGGGGGGGUAGAAUUCCACGUGUAGCAGUGAAAUGCGUAGAGAUGUGGAGGAACACCGAUGGCGAAGGCAGCCCCCUGGGCCUGCACUGACGCUCAUGCACGAAAGCGUGGGGAGCAAACAGG
rnacentral:rRNA from 1 species